UACGGAGGGUGCGAGCGUUGUCCGGAAUCAUUGGGCGUAAAGGGCGCGUAGGUGGCCUGCUAAGCGUGCGGUGAAAGUCGGGGGCUCAACCCCCGAUCGGCCGUGCGAACUGGGAGGCUUGAGCACUGUAGAGGCAGGCGGAAUUCCGGGUGUAGCGGUGGAAUGCGUAGGAGAUCCGGAAGAACACCGGAGGCGAAGGCGGCUUGCUGGGCGUGAUCUGACGCUGAGGCGCGAAAGCGUGGGGAGCGAACAGG
rnacentral:rRNA from 1 species